AUGGUUGGCAACCACCUUUUAGUUGGGCUUCACCCAGGGUCAUAGACCACGGAUAGAAGGAAACCAUAUGGGAAGGACUCGUGAAUUCAGGAAGCACUCUGUGUGCAUGUUCACAUUUAUUCAUACAGGCAUUGGUAUACAUGCAUGCCAUGGUACACAUUUAGAGGUGCAAAUCUCAGCAGUUGGUUCUGUCCUUCAACUAAAUGGGUUCUAUGGCUUAAACUCAGGUUGCUGGGUACCCUGUCUUGGCAGGAAGCACCCUUACCUGCUGGUUACCCUGCUUCUGCUUUAAUAAAAUGGUUCACUUAGUGAACAUCAUCAUGGAAACCCAAUUCAGUCCUGUCUUUUGGGAAGUAGAGCAGAGGGAAUAGACUUUUAUCAGUGACCUGUUAAAUCCAGGUUUAAAAUUUGCGCCCUAUCCCAGCACUGAGAGGGGGAGGUGGACAUGGGUCCCUCCCCUGACAAAGAAGCUAUCUGCAACUGGAAGGAAGGAAAACUUAGUAGUCUUUAAUGGAGUCUCUCUGGGUAUAUUAACCACACCAGGGUAAGCCCAUGCCCAGGAGUAGUUGGCCAACACAAAACAAACCCAAUGGUAUUUUGGUAAUGUUUUUUUCUCAUAUUGCUAAAUGGGUCUUUGUUUUUUUUUGUUUUUUGUUUUUGGUCUUAUUGAUCUUUUGCUUUUAUAUUUUGGUGUGUGUGGUCUUUGUGUUUCUUGUUUUUUUUCUGUUUGUAUUAGAGAGAGAGAGAGAGAGAGAGAGAGCGAGAGAGAAAGGGCAAGGAGUUAAAUUAGUGAGGAAAGAGGGAAGAUUUCGAGGGGUUGAAAAAGAGGAAAAAAUGUGAUCAGAAUUGUAUUGUAUACAUUUUUUUAAUUAAAAAUAUUGCAACCAGGCAGUGGUAGCACACGCCUUUAAUCUCAGCACUUGGGAGGCAGAGGCAGGCGGAUCUCUGUAAGUUCGAGGCUGGCCUGGUCUACAGAGUGAGUUCCAGGUCAGGCAGGACUGUUACACAGAGAAAUCCUGUCUCAAUAAACAAAACAAAGCUGCACCCGAGAGGAUUCAAUUACUUCACCCUACUCCUAGCUUAGGGCAGGAAGAGGGAGUAGUGGAGGACCACCUGAUAGCAAAGCAUGAGCGCCAACAGGUCCAAAUUGUCUUCUCUCUCCCACCAUGCUAUUGACCUUUGCCUAAUCCACAACUCUCCCUACCCCUGAUAAAGCAGGGCUAGUGAAAGAAGUUAAGUGCAUCUAACACCCUGGACCGUAUCUAACACCCUGCUAUUACAUGCCCCCGGACACAGGCUGGGAGCUGAUGAUAAUCUGCCUGUUUAAUAAAGUUUAAUGAAAAAGGUGGUAUGCUAUCAAAGACUCUGGUAGCCAUUACCAGCUUUGGAAAUUUACAUUGGAGGAAGAAGCCCCCCUUUCCCAGGAAUGCAAUGACUUUAGAUUUCAAAACAGUUGUUCUUUAUCAAGGUUUUGUUACCUUUGGCUUCUUUGCUGUGCCUCUAAGAAUGUUCUCAAUGAGACACAGCCAUAUACAAAGUAUCCUCUUUUAGAGAAUGAAUACCAAAUUGUCAUGGUCUCUACUGGGAUCUGAGAAGGACAACUGAGGGGGUCCUAAAGCUUAAGUUUUGUCAGCUUUGCUAUAAAGUCAACCUUGGAACAGAACAAGAGUUUACACAGAAGGGGAAAAGCUAUGUAAGUCAGGUAUUAAAGCCACAUCUCUGGUACUGAUAAGUACCUCAAGCUAAAAUUUAAUUUCUACAUGUAAAAGUCAUAAGCAGGCUCCCUAAAUGUGUGUUCAGCUUAUAAUACAAAUCACCUUAUAUGUGUAUUUGUAGACUAAAUGAUGGUCAGUGCAGCUAAAUGGGAAGUAAUUUAUCAACCUUAAAACGAUAGGUGAAGUAUACAUCACUAUAACAUGAAGUAAAUGUCUAUCCAAUCUAAACUACUUUGAACACUUAUGAAAGUACAAAUAUGGAUGAUUAAAGCGGCAUGUACCACUGGCAGCUGAUGGUCAGGGGCUCUUAAACCCAGCCUUGCUGUCAUUAUAGAAUCUGUUUUUUUCAUUUUUCUGUACAGUCCAGUGAAAAUCCUACUUUCAAAAGAACAGUCUGAAGACCAGACCAACAUUAAAACUCUAAGAAGAUUCAACCUGUUUCUCGGAGGCAGACACCAAAAAGUAUUCCUUCUCUCGUCCAUUUUCAUUCAGUACCAAUGUCUAACUGUGUAUAUAAUGUAGGCUUGUGGACAACGGUAAAUACAGAGAUAUUUUUGAAAGUAGACUUAGAUUUGAUAUGUAGAGAUUCACUUCUCAAAGACAGUGCAAACCUUUCUGCUGCUUAUGAAGUACAAAAAAGUCAACAGAAUUAUGGUUUUUGAAAUUUCGAGUACCGUGUACAUAGCUCAGUGGUAGAGAACUUGCUUAGCAUGUAUGAGGUUCUGGGUUUGAUUUCUGGCUCAGAAAAAAAUUUCUGAUUCAAAUGAAUGUAGAGACCCAGUCAUCUAAAAAGAAGUGAGAUGAGAAAGUAACUGAUUUCUGUUUCCAGUUCAGAUUCUAGUUUAUUCUACAGGGUGUGUACAAUCUAUUUGAAGCUCUUUCCUUUGUAAAAGUGGGGGAUUGGAAUAUCUAUUUUUAAAAAAGCAGGACAAAAAUCAUAGUUAAUGUAGAUAAAAUAUUUUUAAUAAGCAAGUCUGCAGAACACCAUGAAGAUCGUGCUCAUUGUAUGUGAAAGGUAGAGGUCAUGAUGGAUGUGUAGCUAGCCUGGCAAGGACUCGCAUUUCCUGAACCUCCCUUUUCCUUUGCACUGAUUGGCCAACUGUGGCAGAUGAUGAAAUCAACUUCCAGCCAGUGGGAUGAGAUAGAGUCAUCAACCCGGCAAGGAUAAAGGAUGGGAGCCAUCUCAAGAGCUACCCAUGUACUUGCUGGCCUGCUGUGAGCCAUAACUUACCCCUUUUAUAUAGAUACUUUGCCUUGCUCCUGUGCUCCUUUGUGUAACACCAAGAUUAUCCUUUCUCUGCCUCUCACGUUACUAAGCAAUGGAUUCUGACUUUAAACCUAGUUGGAAGUCUCGCUGUUUCUAGGAUUCCUUCCUAUAUGUGAGUCUUGAUGAAUGGUUCCUACUUAACUUCAUAUAACUUUUCCACAAUGUGAGCUAGGACCCCCUCCCCCGCAUCACUGCACAUUUUCAUACAGUUUAUAUGUAUUUCUUUGCCAUGAAAAAGUUCAAGCAAAAUAUCUAUUAAAACGCUAAUUUGUAUUGGGGGUUAUAAUACAACACUUAUCCCACUGAUGACUUCUUUUCUUGGGUGACAUGGCUCCUGCCUGUUGAACCCUUAGCAACUGUGGGCAUCAGGAAGAGACAGGAGACCUGCAGAAGACUGGGUCCAUUAACUGUCCCUUUUUCUGGGGGAGGGGCUCAUGAAGUCCUACCCCGUCCUGAGGAUAGGUAGUCAGUCAUUUAACUGCUGGAAGAAAAAUAAUUUUUUUAUUUUUAGUGGUUUACUUAGAGGAGCAUGGGCUCCUAAUUAGCUAACUAAGUCACUAGCACAAUUAUUUCUUUGUUUCUGCUGGCAUCCUGACUAAGGUCAGUAGUUUUAACUGUGUGUCCUCAGGAGAAGUUCACGAAACAGGGUCUAUACCAGGAAAAUUAUACCACCAAAGAAAACAAACAGCUUGCUAGUAAGUUGGAGCAAACAGAAUAGAUCAGAACCAGGAAGACAGCCUGGGGAGAUAGAUGGCUGACUGGAAAAAGUGCUUCUCGAAGGACCGUGUUUGGGUCCCCAGAGCCUGUGAGUGCCAUAGGGCAAGGAUAGGGAGUCACCGGACAGAGGAGGGGGCGCUUCCCCUGUAUUUCCUGUCCCUAAGAAUGUCAUCUUCUGAGCUUGGCAAUCGGAAACCAAGGCGUCACCGGGCCCACUGAAGCAGUCGCCAUUUUAACAAGAGCCAUGGGUGAUUCUGUAUAUACACUACUGUCUCAGAAGCAGUGACAGGGAGAGCAGCCAGGACAAAGACCCGGAUGAGCAGUCAAAGGCCAUGUUUUCAGCAGAGACACUGUAGCCAGUACACAUUAGGGAAGAGAAGGAGAACGGACUAGCCAAAGGAUGCUUACAUGGAGUGGGGACCUACACGACCGUGUGGAUGUGAUUAAAUACAUACUGUGCCUGCCAAUAAGCGAGUAUCUGGAAAGAUACUGACCUGCUUAACAGCAAACAACAAACUGACGUCAGUGUGAAUGAAAAGCCGCAGAAGAGAGGUAGGAGGGUCAGGAGGAGAGCGGCAGGGUGAGAGAUUACAUAAGGAUUGCGCAGCAUGCGAAAGCCUGGAGACAAGGGGCUCUGGCUCCGGCGGUUUCAUGGUUAAGUCAGCUCGGCAAUCACACAAGGUGAUUCAUCAGCGUGCUUGGUUGUCUUUGUUUUCUAGAUGGAAGGGAAGCGAAUGUUGCACAGGAGAAAAUACCCCGCGAGAGUCAGGAAAGGAGACUAAUGUAGAGAAAAAUGGGAGUCCACGUGUUGACAACAGCUGAGGCCAAGGGACCAGAGAUGUAUGUUGAGUUUCCACAAUGGGGCCGGGAGGGAGUUGGCAGUGCGGUGGCCAGAUAGGAACUGGGUCCAUCCGAAAUUUAUAAUAUUAGAGACGGAGAUCCCCCCUUCCUCCCCAAAACCUCAGCACUGGUAAGGGCUGUGGUCUCCCUUUGCGUAGUGAAGAAGAGGAGGAUGCAGAUUCUGCCUACAUGAUGCUUCUCUCGCCCCCACACUUUUCUUAAGGUCAGCAGGGAUCAGGCUGAAAGAGUUGCUGGGCCCCCAUUGGCUACAGCACCAUCAGCUCUUCUCUAGUUACCAUGACAACCACUGACGUCAGGCACAUGCCACUCAUCAAAGACACACUGAAUACAGAGACCGGCUCCUGGAAUUUUCUACUUCAGCAAGGUCACUGUCUUCAUUUUAUUUCUCUGCCUUUAACUGGAACAAAGAUUUAAUUUACUUCGGGCGGUAUAGCAGAGGCCUGAUCUGAUGGGCAUCGUUAACAGGGAGUGUGGCUUGAGGGUUACAAGGCUGAUGUGGGCUGGAGCUCGGUGACUGGGUGUAGUGACCCAAACAUACAGCAGAGCUGCAUCAAAUCACCUGUCAGAAGAUGAGGGCAGAGGUAGGAAGGCAGUGGCGAGCCAAAGGACAGAUGGAGAGCAGGGUGACCCAGAGAAUAACUGAGUCUUCAUCAUUUUCAUAAGAUCUGUGGCUGGCAAAAUUCCUGAGAGAACUAUGGAUCGUGGAAAUGUCAGCGUGCUGAGUAGCAGGGGGCUGAUGAGCUCCUGUGAGCAAUCCAAUCUUCUAGACCUACUCUGGGGUGUGGAAAGUGUAAAGGACAAACAACAUCUGUGUAGGUCAGAGGACAAGAAAUUGGGACCUAUCCAUCCACGUACAAGUGAGAGCAAAAGCAGCCACAGAGCUGAAGGCCAGCAGAGGGAAGGAGAUGCCCACACUGAAGGCUUCGAUCAUUAGCCAGAAGAUUCGGACCGACCGGAGAAGGGGGGCAGGGUUGGGUGGAGGUGGGGGCACUGACACAGCUGGAGAGGGCAGAGCUUGCAGGAAGUAAACACAGCGAAGGGGGAGAGCCACAGGCUCUCCAGGAAGAGCAAUGCCACGCUCAGAUGAACACAGACCUUCUCUUGCACUCCCAAAUGCAUCUAUCGGAGUUAUAUCCCCAGACCUUAGGAUUCUUUGUAUCUUCCAUUUAAAUGUUUUAUAUCAGAAGUCCAGAAGAUCAAGGCACCAAAGUACCUUAGACACACAUGGACACUGAGGCAUUUCUAAACAUCUAUACGGUUAUCAUGAAGAUACACUUAUAAUGGAGGUUUCUAGGCAUCUUACAGAAGUCACAACAGACCAAUCUAGACUUUGAAUAAGCAGACUAGAAUUACAAACUUAGGUUUUAUAAGACUUUUCUGGCUUCCAAAUUGGGGUAAUAGAGUAAAAAUGGACAAAUGGGUUACAACAUCACACUAAAAAGCUGCCUCUACACAGCAAAAGGAACAGUCAGUGGAGCAGAAAGACGAUGUGUAGGAGGGAGAAUACAUCUGCAAAGCCCAAAUGAGGGGCUAAUAUCCAAAAUGCGUAAGAGUUGACAUACAUUCUAGGAAGGGAGCUGUGUGAGGAGAGUUCUGAGUGCUCGUGAGAACACUCCGGGAAAACAAGACAAGAGUCUUCUGACCUCAGUUUCUUCAAAACAUGGACUUGUUCUUGGAAUAUGUUUUUGUGUUCCUCCCAUUUGUAGCGGAUGAGUGAGUUUACUUCAGAUUACUCACUAUCGCUUGCUGCUGUUAUUCAAUUAACUGUUCACACUAUCCUUUCUAUGCUUCUAUGGAAAAACUUGUUUUUAUCAUGUAUGGCUUGUUCUCGUGAUUGCAUAGAGCUUGAACUCAUAAGAACUUCACUCAUGUGAUUCUCCUUAACCCUCAGAAUAGAACUUGUCUGAGGCUCUGGAGAAGCUUGGCCAUUGCAUUUAUUAUUUACGUAGUCCACCACAUUUUUAGGCUCCAUUUGCCCAUGUCCCACUGCCUUUUGAGUGGUAAACAAGGGGUGCCAUGUGUCAGAGACGUGCAGUCAGCAAAGAGACAAGAGAGUGGGGCCCUCACUGAAGGAAAUAAGCAAGCUGAUGCAGUAACCUGCCCUAUUUUUACUUCUCCAGAAGAAAACUGGGGAGGAUUAUACAUCUGUCAUUGAGGAUGGAUCACUAAGACAUUUUGGAUUCCUCUCUGGUUCCUCCAGCCCUGGGCCAUCAAGGACAAUGACAGAGGGUGAGGAGACAGUGGAAGUCACCAGAAAGAUAGCACACCUCCAGCUAAAGGGCGAAAUAAGAUAUCAUAUCAUCAGAAGCCAAGUCUGCCCAUCUGGGGCCAAGUUAAGGCCUAUGCAUCAUGGAAGAAGUAAACACACAGAGCCCUUGUCACACGAGAACCUCUUUCUGGCAAUGCUAGCUGCUUGGACCUGUGCAUCUGCAGUGAGUGUCUCAGCACGAGUACUGGUCAUAUGUUCCUCAUCCUCCUUGGACCUGUGCAUCUGCAGUGAGUGCCUCCGAGCAUGUGUAUUGGUUUAUGUUCCUCAUCCUCCUUUGCUUCAGCUUACAGACUGGAUGGAUCCAGCUCCUGUUAUCUUUACCAAUGACUCUGUGUUUAUGACUAGACCUUGGGACUGUACCAGGCUCAUUUAUUCAUCUGAAGAAGGUACUGCAUUUUAUUUUUCCUUGGGAUUGAAAUCAUUUAUUUGCAUAGGACAUCAUAAUAUUUGUGUUCCUAUUAAAGGCAAACAUGGACUUAUAUUCUACAAGAUAUCAGAACUACUAAUCAUAUGGUUCUCUUUUCAAGAUAUUCUCUAGAUUUUUCCAGUCAAUAUAAUGAUAUGAUCAAUAAUACUGGACAUAGUUUGUGAUCCCUGUUCUUGGUGGCAGAGUACUACACACAAUAUUUUCACUGACUUAAUGUUUAUAGUUUGCUUGCUUAUAGGAUACUCAUGCAUCAAAUGACAAUUAGAUUUAUCUACAACAUCUCAAGUCAAAACUGCUCUGGAAUCCUGCUUUAAAAAGGGGGAUGGGGAGAUGUUGGAACAUGGUUCAGGAAUCUCCAGAGCCAUGUGAGACAAAAGCCAGAGACAGCCCCCGCUCCCACUGUUAGGAAUCCCACAAGAACACCAAGCUACUCAGCCAUAACAUGUGUGUAGAGGACCUAGGUCAGACUGCUAUGGGCUCCCUGAACUCUGCAGGUCUCUGUGAGUUCUUCAAAACACAGAGUUGCUCUUGGAAUGUGUGCUUCUCUCAGGUGUAGCGGAUAGGAGUGAGUUUAUUUCAGAUUACUUGCUGCUGUUACUCAGUUAACUGUUUACACUAUCCUUUAUAUGCCUCUAUGGAAAAACUUGUUUUUGCCAUGUGUGGCCUGUCCUUGUGACUGUAUACAGCUUGAACUUAUGAGAACAUUAGUCACAUGAUUCUCCUUAACCCCAGGAGCAUAAAUUGUCUGAUGCUCUGAAUAAAGUUGGUUAUGGUAUGA